GGAUGUGAGGGUGAUCUAGUGAUGACAUCUGUCACCCUGUGGAUCACCAGGGUUGAUUUGACUGAUCUGGCUGGCUGGGCAGUUGGCCCCUUCCUCCCCUACCACUCCAUGUGCAUUCAUUCGAAAGCUGGGUGCUUGUAGAAGAGGACAACCACCUCCGAUAGAGGAGGACCUUUCUCAGUCAAGGAUAUAGGAGUAGCCAUGCUCUCUGGCUAGAACCUCCAAACAAGCUCAAGAUAAAAUUUAAAAAUACAAAAGGGGGUAAGAGUAUAACUCAGUGGUAGAGGGCUUUGCCUAGUAUGCACAAGGCCUUGGAUU
rnacentral:snRNA from 1 species